AGACACUUGGAGCUUUCUGAAUGGGUGUGGUGUUACUUGGUAUGUGUUGAAGCUUUCUGAAAUUUAUGCUGUGCUGUGUGUCAUGGCUGUCUCAACUGCAACAUGUUCAGUGUAAUACCUUGGCUGAAAAAAGAAUUCUUGUUGCACAGCAGCUUAGACUUGGCAGUUUGUUCAUGUGUUUAAAUGACAAGCCUACUGCUCUGCACUUAUUACAACAGUGCUGAGUGAGUGGGCACAGUGUUAUGGCAUGGUGCAGAAAUAUGGCAAGGGCUGGCAUCAAAAUGGGGCUUGUUUUCCCCCUCUCUGUUACUGGGCUGCAGUUUGCCAUUGUUAAGGUAGCUUUAAUUGUCUGACACUGGCUGGUCCUUGGGUCCUGUUUGCCUGCCUUGAAGAUCUCUGUUGGAAAGCUUCACAUUAGGCAAACAGUGUUUUAGAUGAAAAAUGAUCUUCAUGGAAAGGAACUUUUACUUUCAAACUAGGUCAGCUGUCUGUGUGGAAUCCAGCUGGUGCUUUCCCAAACUAGCUAUGCAAGGGUCUUGAAAAAGUGGAAGGUUGAAACUCUGUGCAACAUAAAGGAAUGGGACAUUUCACAAUAGUUAAAUUUCACUUUUCUCAAAAGCAAUCGUAUGACUUCCUACUACUAUGACCCCAGGAAAUUUUUCUGAAGCUCUAUAUUAUGGAGGUAAUUUGUUUAAAAGGUUUUGUUUGACUCUGUUUAUUUCUCCCUCUUCUAAUAAUUACCUGAAAGAUAUUGUCAACACCUGCUUUCGUAUCCUGAGUGUUAAGGUGGGAUUUUGGAUAUAUUCACAAUAUUGCUCUAUGUCAAAAUGCUUGGAGUGUAAAGUGCAUUGUCGCUUUCCAAGUUGUGCUGUAUGUUUUCUUACAAACAAGAAGUAUCCAUUUGUUUAAACUCUGAGUUACCGAAAUUAUAUCUCCUUUGCCAUGUC